GUGGGGAAUAUUGGGCAAUGGGCGAAAGCCUGACCCAGCGACGCCGCGUGGGGGAAGAAGUCCCUCGGGAUGUAAACCCUUGUUGUACGGGACGAAGGAAGUGACGGUACCGUACGAGGAAGCCCCGGCAAACUACGUGCCAGCAGCCGCGGUAAUACGUAGGGGGCGAGCGUUGUCCGGAAUCACUGGGCGUAAAGCGCACGUAGGCGGGCUGUUAAGUCGGCCGGGAAAGGCACUGGCUCAACCGGUGUUUGUCGGUAGAUACUGACAGUCUGGAGUAUGGGAGAGGGAACUGGAAUUCCCGGUGUAGCGGUGAAGUGCGUAGAUAUCGGGAGGAACACCAGUGGCGAAGGCGGGUUCCUGGCCCAUGACUGACGCUGAGGUGCGAAAGCCGGGGGAGCGAACGGGAUUAGAUACCCUGGUAGUCC
rnacentral:rRNA from 1 species